GAGAGUUCACAGAUCUGACAUGAUCUAAUCGUGUCUGAAAGAGACUGUGGAUGAAACCAUUCAGUCUGACUCUUCUCAGAGUGAACACUUGUACAAUGAAUCUUCAUUCACUUAUUCUGUUCUGUGUCUCAGCAGCUGCUGUAUUUGGAAAUGUCAUCAAACCAAACAACACAGAUGUUGUUUCUGAGGAGGAUUCAAAUGUUACAUUAUUCUGUAGUCUUUCUCCUGGAGCUACAGAUUAUCUCCACUGGUACCGUCAGUAUGGAAGAUCAAAACCUGAAUUUCUUGUACUCGCAUUUGGAAGUUCAGAAAAAGCUCAGGUGUCUGAUAUAGAUCCAAGAUUCUCUGUUAGAGUUGAAAAAAAGGAAAAAAUCCACAUGGAUCUGGAGAUCUCCUCUGCUGCAGUAUCAGACUCUGCUCUGUAUUACUGUGCUCUGAGGCCCACAGUCACAGGAAACACUGUAACUCUGUACAAAAACCUGUUACAAUGAGAGAAACACAGAGAUAGAGAUGAACACAGACAGAAAGAAACUGUAACUGAUAAUUACAGCAUUAUGUCAGAAAGUAAUAGAAUCAAUGAGGCUAAAUCAUAGGCAACAAAUCAAAAGUUAGAUACAGAUUUCUUUUCUUUUAAUUAUAAGGUGUGAAUUUGUUCCCUUAAUUACUGAUUUCGUUCACCUGUUGUUCUA